rnacentral:rRNA from 1 species
GAUGAACGCUGGCGGCGUGCCUAAUACAUGAAGUCGAGCGAACAGACGAGGAGCUUGCUCCUCUGACGUUAGCGGCGGACGGGUGAGUAACACGUGGAUAACCUACCUAUAAGACUGGGAUAACUUCGGGAAACCGGAGCUAAUACCGGAUAAUAUAUUGAACCGCAUGGUUCAAUAGUGAAAGACGGUUUUGCUGUCACUUAUAGAUGGAUCCGCGCCGCAUUAGCUAGUUGGUAAGGUAACGGCUUACCAAGGCAACGAUGCGUAGCCGACCUGAGAGGGUGAUCGGCCACACUGGAACUGAGACACGGUCCAGACUCCUACGGGAGGCAGCAGUAGGGAAUCUUCCGCAAAGGGCGAAAGCCUGACGGAGCAACGCCGCGUGAGUGAUGAAGGUCUUCGGAUCGUAAAACUCUGUUAUUAGGGAAGAACAAAUGUGUAAGUAACUAUGCACGUCUUGACGGUACCUAAUCAGAAAGCCACGGCUAACUACGUG